CUAGUGGAAAAAUGAAGAAACAUUUUAUAUUUCUAAAAUUUAUACGAACUGCAUCUCAAUGGAUAUAUAUGAUAUCAGGGAAAAUGGUAUAAAACUUAAUUUACUUCUAACUACUGUUGCAACUGCGUCUGUUAUAUAUCACAAAUCAAAUGGAAUAGAAAUAAAUAUCAAUAAAGAUAUUAUAAUUAUAACAUGUUUACAUCUGGCAUCAAAAAUUGAAGAAGAGUAUAUAAAUAUCAAAGAUAUAAUUAUGGUUUGUUACAAUACUCUCUAUCUAAGGAAUAAAAAUAAAUAUUCACAAACUUUAUCUUCUGAAGAAUAUGAAAAAUACAUAGAUGCUACAGCAUUUUGUGAAUGCAUUAUAUUGAUUAAAUUAAAAUUCUGUCUCACAUUUACGCAUCCUCAUAUAUAUUUCUUCUCUUUUUUAAAAAUAUUAAUGGAUUGGAUUCCAAACAGUCAACAAUUUGAAAAUAAACUUUUAAAUGACAUUCAGAUCCAAUCUCUUCACAUAAAAGUCUAUAAAACAGCAUUAAGAUUUAUGCAGGACAUUUAUAAAUCGAAUGAAAUGGUGUCAUUAUUAUACCCUAAUGAAGAUAAAGAUAAUAAUAUUGAUCCUGCUAUGUUUGCUCUAUCCUUAAUAUAUUUAACUUUUAAAAUUUUAAACAUGGAAAAAAUCAUGAAACCAAAUAUUCUAAUCAAUACCAAUUUUAAUAAAUUAAUAUAUUAUAAACCUUGGUGGCAAUUAUUUAUUGAUAUAUCUGAACAUCAGUUACUUAUUAUAAGUGAAAAAAUUUUGGAUUUAUAUGAUUUUUGAUCCAUAAUAAUAUAAGGGAAUUAUAUGUAAAUUAUGAAAACUACAUAUUCAACAAAAAAACAUAAAUUUUUUGUUUAUUUUUCAUAAUAGAUAAA